UUGGUUAUCGGGGCUCUUUGACCAAGCUUCGCCGCACUGGUCGGUCGCUCGUUGUUGAACGAUGGCUGGAAGGUGACGGGGCCGAUUCCGGGUAUCAACUCGCCAAUUGAUGAUGGCCGUGGCCGGGAAUUGAAUUCAGGUGGCCAGGGUGUCACAGUGCAGUAGCCGUAACCGCUGGGCGACACCGACCACGCCGGCUACCCCUCCACUGUCAAAACCAACAGCAGCAACACAACAACACAACACAACAACACAACACAACAACACAACACGAGAGGCGUAGUCGUGCGUGCGUGCGCCGACCGAACCCGUGACCUGACGAUAGCCAAAAUCGUUCCCCUGCGGCAGAGCAAACUGGCAAAGUUGCCCGCAUAGCAAACGCCCGGGUGUCAAGCGUUUCCCGGCGGCAGUUUGGUCUGCUCCGGCCGUUGGAGCAGCAGCAACAACAACAGAAGCAGCAGCAGCAGCAAAGUACCUCUUGGCAGAGGUGGGACAAAGUCAUUGUUAUGCAAGUCCAAGUCGAGUCUGAAGUCAUCAAAUUCAUGACUCGAGUCUGACUCGAGUCCAAGUCACAUGACUCGAGUCCACACCUCAGAGGUGGGACAAAGUCAUUGUUAUGCAAGUCCAAGUCGAGUCUGAAGUCAUCAAAUUCAUGACUCGAGUCUGACUCGAGUCCAAGUCACAUGACUCGAGUCCACACCUCUGCCUCUUGGUAUAUAGGUGCUGCCUCGGGAGCGAGGUGGCCGGAGAGACGAGUAUACGGCGUUAUUCACGAUGUUCCCCAAGAGCGCGUUACAUCCAUCGCAUCUCAUCUGAAAGGGGGCAGCCUCUCCAGUGACAGCUGACCAGCAAACGGGCAUCGGGUUGCCAUUGGCACUUGAAGGAUUUAGGAGCCGCGGCCCUCGGGGUGUGGGACACCACCACAGGUGUGGACACCACCACGGGUGUGAACAGCACCACAGGUGAGGGAGACCUCUACAGGUGCGCGCAACAAUUGAAUGGAGCUCUGACGCAACAAAGCGACGAUCACCUGCACAGACAGGCGAGCGACUCGUGGCGCCCUGGCUGUCCUUUCAGUGUGCGCUGCGUGCGCGUGCGUGUGUAUGGAUGUAAGCUACGUGAGGACACUUAACGUGGCCUCAAGGUGCACAUAGCCUGGCACAAGUGUCGUGGUGACGUCACCGCCACUUAGUGGCGAAUGGCGGUUGUUGUUGUUGCUACGUGAAUGUGUUAAUGUCUUCGUGUUAAUGUGUAUGCGUGUUAUGUACGUGUGCUCCUGUGCAUGUGCAUCGUGUGUUAUGUAGGUGAUGUGUGUGGGCGUGCCGUGUGCGUUAAUGUGUGUGCUCGCUAGCAGCACUUUCCCCAACAGUCUGUUCAUGCUUUACGGGGAAUAUUUGUCUUUGUGUCUGUGCUGUGCGUGUGUGUUAUGCGUGUGCGCGGUAUACGUGUGCUGUGUGUGUAUUAACUAGUGGGGAGCGGUAGUGUAGCGGUUCGUGCGCCGACCCGAGUUCGAUUCCGGCUCAUGGCCAACACCAGCGACUAUUAUUUGAACCUGUCCUGGGCCUCCCCUAGGUCAACUCAGUCUCAAAUGAGUACCUGGUGCGGUGUGUUGUAAACAUCGCCACUCGGGAGACAAAGGCGGCCGGACGCGGUGUUGGUCACCCGCCCCCUCGUGCGUCGUGCCGGCCUUCAUAGGCGCUCGCUAACAGCACUUGCCCCAACAGUCUCUCAAGGCUAUACGGGGGAUCUUGUUCUGUGUGUGCGUGUCAUGUUGUGCGUGACACGAGCGCAGGAUGAAGGAGAGCGACCCAUAAGACCCAACCACUGCGCCACCGCUCCACCCACGCGCGACGUUUCCUUGUCCAAAAUAUCAAAUCGAUUCGUUGGCUGAUGGAUCGAUAUUAUGAUGAUCGUUGCAGCAAUGGCUCCAACACGUCAAUCUCCUUGCACCGAUCAAUCAAUCGCACUCAUCUGUUGAUUCUUAACGAAUAUAAUUAGACGUGGGUGUGUGUGUGGGGGGAGGUGAAGU